GGAACUGGAUUCCCAUCCAUAAGGGGGCUUCGAGGUCAGAAGGCCCGUUAUCUUCGAGAUGUUUCCUGGUGGGCAAAUGACAAAGAUGCAGAACUGUUACGUCUUGGCUAUGUCAAGCCUGAAGUAGUUAGUUGGUCGCCUCGAAUUAUUGUGCUUCAUAACUUUCUAAGACCAG